rnacentral:rRNA from 1 species
UACGUAGGGUGCGAGCGUUAAUCGGAAUUACUGGGCGUAAAGCGUGCGCAGGCGGUGAGCUGUGUCCGAUGUGAAAGCCCCGGGCUUAACCUGGGAAUGGCAUUGGAAACUGGCUCGCUGGAGUGUGGCAGAGGGGGGUGGAAUUCCGCGUGUAGCAGUGAAAUGCGUAGAGAUGCGGAGGAACACCGAUGGCGAAGGCAGCCCCCUGGGCUAGCACUGACGCUCAGGCACGAAAGCGUGGGGAGCAAACAGG